GGACUACCCGGGUAUCUAAUCCUGUUUGAUCCCCACGCUUUCGUGCCUCAGCGUCAGUUACAGUUUAGCGAGCUGCCUUCGCAAUUGGUGUUCUGUGUCAUAUCUAUGCAUUUCACCGCUACAUGACACAUUCCGCCCGCUUCAAAUGUACUCAAUCCUGAUAGUUUUACGGCCAGUUUCCUUGUUGAGCAAGGAGAUUUCAACCGUAACUUUCCAGGACGCCUACGCACCCUUUAAACCCAAUAAAUCCGGAUAACGCUCGGGUCCUUCGUAUUACCGCGGCUGCUGGCAC
rnacentral:rRNA from 1 species